rnacentral:snRNA from 1 species
AAUGUAAUUUCGUGUCUG